UACAGAGGGUGCGAGCGUUAAUCGGAAUUACUGGGCGUAAAGCGUGCGUAGACGGUUAUUUAAGUCGGGUGUGAAAGCCCCGGGCUCAACCUGGGAAUUGCAUUCGAGACUGAAUAGCUAGGGUGCGGUAGAGGGAAGCGGAAUUUCCGGUGUAGCGGUGAAAUGCGUAGAUAUCUGGAGGAACACCGGUGGCGAAGGCGGCAUCCUGGACCGGCAUUGACGCUGAGGCGCGAAAGCUAGGGGAGCAAACGGGG
rnacentral:rRNA from 1 species